AUUGAACGCUGGCGGCAGGCCUAACACAUGCAAGUCGAACGAGUGGCGGACGGGUGAUUAAUGUCUGGUAUACUGCCUGAUGGAGGGGGAUAACUACUGGAAACGGUAGCUAAUACCGCAUACCAUCAGAUGUGUCCAGAUGGGAUUAGCUUGUUGGUGGGGUAACGGCUCACCCAGGCGACGAUCCCUAGCUGGUCUGAGAGGAUGACCAGCAACACGGGAACUGGGACACGGUCCAGAAUCCUACGGGAGGCAGCAGUGGGGAAUAUUGCACAAUGGGCGCAAGCCUGAUUCAGCCAUGCCGCGUGUAUGAAGAAGGCCUUCGGGUUGUAGAGUACUUUCAGCGGGGAGGCGUUACCCGCAGAAGAAGCACCGGCUAACUCCGUGCCAGCAGCCGCGGUAAUUC
rnacentral:rRNA from 1 species